rnacentral:rRNA from 1 species
GCUUACGGCCAUACCACCUGAACAUGCCCGAUCUCGUCCGAUCUCGGAAGCUACAGCAGGGUCGGGCCUGGUUAGUACUUGGAUGGGAGACCGCCUGGGAAUACCAGGUGCUGUAAGCC